GCUCCCAUAGCUCAACGGAUAGAGCAUCUCGCUUCUAACGAGAAGGUUGCAGGUUCGAUUCCUGCUGGGAGCG
rnacentral:tRNA from 1 species